rnacentral:rRNA from 1 species
GAUGAACGCUGGCGGCGUGCCUAAUACAUGCAAGUCGAGCGAACAGACGAGGAGCUUGCUCCUCUGACGUUAGCGGCGGACGGGUGAGUAACACGUGGAUAACCUACCUAUAAGACUGGGAUAACUUCGGGAAACCGGAGCUAAUACCGGAUAAUAUAUUGAACCGCAUGGUUCAAUAGUGAAAGACGGUUUUGCUGUCACUUAUAGAUGGAUCCGCGCCGCAUUAGCUAGUUGGUAAGGUAACGGCUUACCAAGGCAACGAUGCGUAGCCGACCUGAGAGGGUGAUCGGCCACACUGGAACUGAGACACGGUCCAGAAUCCUACGGGAGGCAGCAGUAGGGAAUCUUCCGCAAUGGGCGAAAGCCUGACGGAGCAACGCCGCGUGAGUGAUGAAGGUCUUCGGAUCGUAAAACUCUGUUAUUAGGGAAGAACAAAUGUGUAAGUAACUAUGCACGUCUUGACGGUACCUAAUCAGAAAACCACGGCUAACUACGU